UGCUGUAGAAGGUGUUUAUGAUCAAACUGAGCAACUGACUGCUCUCGGCCUGGAAAGCAAACGUCUCUGCCUCCGCCAUUGCUGAUCGAUUACAGUAUCCUACAGAUCUAAAAUCACAGACCUUUCAAGGGUAAGAGACGGAAAAUCUAAGAUUGAGAGGCACGGAGACUGAGUCUGCAGAAAUGGAGAAAGUGGGGCUUUUAUACAGGGCUUCGCUAGGGUUUCUAGAUCCUUCCAUUUCUCUGUAUUUUU
rnacentral:misc_RNA from 1 species